GAUGAACGCUGGCGGCGUGCUUAAUACAUGCAAGUCGAGCGAACGGACGAGAAGCUUGCUUCUCUGAUGUUAGCGGCGGACGGGAGAGUAACACGUGGAUAACCUACCUAUAAGACUGGGAUAACUUCGGGAAACCGGAGCUAAUACCGGAUAAUAUUUUGAACCGCAUGGUUCAAAAGUGAAAGACGGUCUUGCUGUCACUUAUAGAGGGAUCCGCGCUGCAUUAGCUGGUUGGUAAGGUAACGGCUUACCAAGGCAACGAUGCAUAGCCGACCUGUGAGGGGGGUCGGCCACACGGGAGCUGGGACACCGUCCUGACUCCUACGGGAGGGAGCAGUAGGGAAUCUGCCGCAAUGGGCGAAAGCCUGACGGAGCAACGCCGCGUGAGUGAUGGAGAUCUCCGGAGCGUAAAACUCUGUUAUGAGUGAAGAACAGAUGUGUAAGGAACUGUGCACAGCGUGACGGUACCUAAUCAGAAAGCCACGGCUAACUACGUG
rnacentral:rRNA from 1 species